rnacentral:rRNA from 1 species
CCUACGGGUGGCAGCAGUGAGGAAUAUUGGUCAAUGGGCGAGAGCCUGAACCAGCCAAGUCGCGUGAGGGAGUACUGCCCUAUGGAUUGUAAACCUCUUUUGUCGGGGAGCAAAAGCCGGACGUGUCCGGCUGUGAGAGUACCCGAAGAAAAAGCAUCGGCUAACUCCGUGCCAGCAGCCGCGGUAAUACGGAGGAUGCGGACGUUAUCCUGAUUUAUUGGGUUUAAAGGGUGCGCAGGCGGGUUUUUAAGUCAGCGGUAAAAUCGUGGGGCUCAACCCCAUGCAGCCGUUGAAACUGGGGAUCUAGAGUGUGCUAGAGGCAGGCGGAAUGCGUGGUGUAGCGGUGAAAUGCAUAGAUAUCACGCAGAACCCCGAUUGCGAAGGCAGCAUACCGGUGCACAACUGACGCUCAGGCACGAAAGCGUGGGUAUCGAACAGGAUUAGAUACCCUAGUAGUC